rnacentral:rRNA from 1 species
UACGAGGGGGGCAAAUGUUGUUCGGAAUCACUGGGCGUAAAGGGAGCGUAGGCGGGUUUCUAAGUCAGGUGUUUAAUCCCGGGGCCCAACCCCGGACAGGCACUUGAAACUGGGAAUCUUGAAUAGUGGAGAGGUCAGUGGAAUUGGGGGUGUAGCGGUGGAAUGCGUAGAGAUCCCCAAGAACACCAGUUGCGAAGGCGGCUGACUGGACACAUAUUGACGCUGAGGCUCGAAAGCAUGGGGAGCAAACGGG